UAACAGCUGGUUUUGAGGCAAUUAAAAUUUGUUUUUGCUUCCCAUUUCUUUCUUCCUAAGAUUAACUACUAAUACACCUCAUCAUGCAAAAUCCAUGAAGCAGCAGCUGUCAAAAUAAUCAAAUGGACCCAAAAAUAGCCACAUAAACCCCUUUCCUUUGAAUCUCAGCCAUUCUUCUUAGGUUUUAGUUUUCUGUCCCAUUUAAAAUAGCUAGCGGCACUGGUUUUAGGGAGGGGAGAGAGUUAGGAAAGCGAAAAAGUAACAAAAGCCAGAAAUGGGCAGAAAAGAAAAAUUUUCUGGAAAAAAAGCUGUGCACAGGGCUGAUGAAUCAGGCCUGGUUCUGACCAAAAUUCGACUUCAAUUAGAGCCCUUUAAGUGAGAUAUUUGUUUUUCCACCAUCUACGAUCAUCAGGGAACAACUUUUGUGAAAAUUUUUAUAAAAAAUGUCUCUAGAUCCUUCGAAUCAAGGCUCAAAUUCACUGCUUCGUCACCUCUUGAAUCUCUGCCACAAGAACCUGUUUACUUCAUUUCCAGCAUUUGGGUGCGUUUUUGUUGAGGCAUCUCACGUUUAUCCGACUCCAUAAAGCAUCAGAGGGUGUGCCGGUGACUCAAGGCGAUCGUUGGGUGGAAAUUUGUGAAAACUCUCUUUGUUUGAUUGGGAUAUGAAUAACUUUUGGGAGACUGUGGUUUUGAAGCAGAGUUGAGCUAGAUUACUAUUCUUUUGUAUAGCUCCUUGAUGGUUGGAAAACCUUAAGUGUAUUUUGAUUCAACAUUUCCUUUUGGGUUGUAAAUUUGCAACUAUACGUGUAUAAACGUGUUUGGUAAUG